UACGUAGGGUGCGAGCGUUGUCCGGAAUUACUGGGCGUAAAGAGCUCGUAGGUGGUUUGUCGCGUUGUUCGUGAAAACUCACAACUCAAUGGUGGGCGUGCGGGCGAUACGGGCAGACUGGAGUACUGCAGGGGAGACUGGAAUUCCUGGUGUAGCGGUGGAAUGCGCAGAUAUCAGGAGGAACACCGGUGGCGAAGGCGGGUCUCUGGGCCGAUACUGACGCUGAGGAGCGAAAGUGUGGGGAGCGAACAGG
rnacentral:rRNA from 1 species